rnacentral:rRNA from 1 species
GGUACCCAGUUCGGAUUGUAGGCUGCAACUCGCCUACAUGAAGUCGGAGUUGCUAGUAAUCGCGGAUCAGAAUGCCGCGGUGAAUGCGUUCCCGGGUCUUGUACACACCGCCCGUCACACCAUGGAAGUUGGGGGCGCCCGAAGUUGCCUAAGAAAAUAAGGUACCUAAGGCGAAACCAAUGACUGGGGUGAAGUCGUAACAAGGUACC